rnacentral:rRNA from 1 species
GCUCAGGAUGAACGCUAGCUACAGGCUUAACACAUGCAAGUCGAGGGGUAGCAGGGUAGCAAUACCGCUGACGACCGGCGCACGGGUGAGUAACACGUAUCCAACCUUCCCAUAACUCGGGGAUAGCCUUUCGAAAGAAAGAUUAAUACCCGAUAGUACUUUUUCAAGGCAUCUUGAGAAAGUUAAAGAUUUAUUGGUUAUGGAUGGGGAUGCGUUCCAUUAGAUAGUUGGUGAGGUAACGGCUCACCAAGUCUUCGAUGGAUAGGGGUUCUGAGAGGAAGGUCCCCACAUUGGUACUGAGACACGGACCAAACUCCUACGGGAGGCAGCAGUGAGG